CCUACGGGCGGCAGCAGUGGGGGAUAUUGCACAAUGGGGGAAACCCUGAUGCAGCGACGCCGCGUGGGUGAAGAAGCGCCUCGGCGCGUAAAGCCCUGUCAGCAGGGAAGAAAAUGACGGUACCUGAAGAAGAAGCCCCGGCUAACUACGUGCCAGCAGCCGCGGUAAUACGUAGGGGGCAAGCGUUAUCCGGAUUUACUGGGUGUAAAGGGGGCGCAGACGGCGAUGCAAGCCAGGAGUGAAAGCCCGGGGCCCAACCCCGGGACUGCAUUUGAAACUGUUGGUCUUGAGUAUCGGAGAGGCAGGCGGAAUUCCUAGUGUAGCGGUGAAAUGCGUAGAUAUUAGGAGGAACACCAGUGGCGAAGGCGGCCUGCUGGACGACAACUGACGGUGAGGCGCGAAAGCGUGGGGAGCAAACAGGAUUAGAUACCCGGGUAGUC
rnacentral:rRNA from 1 species